rnacentral:sRNA from 1 species
ACAACGGUGAUUUCUCGAGGAAAGCCUUGAACGAGUCACGCUCUUCUCGAUUCUGAGAUCAAACAGGCGUAUAUCAGGUCUCGAUAUGAGACUUGUCCAUUCUCCACUAAGAACCCAUCAUCCAAUGUAAAUAUUGAUGUCUAUUAUGAAAUUCUUUGGACCACUCCAGAAUCUGCUCAGCUGCGUGGGAAAAAAAAAAAAAAAAUUUGCACUCCUGGGCCCCAAAUCUACAUUUUGAAGAAGGCAAGCAUCAUAAAUACCUAGGCCGACAUUCAAAAGCCCUAACCAUGUACUCUGCCAAGGUACCGACACAAUAACAGAUGAACAUCUGGAUGGAUAGUGAUUUUUUCUCCCAUAUUUUUCCAUACUCAGCAUAACGGAGGCCUAGCUGUUGUUCUUUGCCAUUCGCUUGAGCACUAUCUACCUGAACAGGGGAAACCCCUCGACGUUUUAACCUCUUACCAGUGUCAUCUUGCAGACCAAGAAAUAAACAGAAC